rnacentral:rRNA from 1 species
UUUUAUUUCUAGUGAUUGGAAUGAUGGGAAUUUAAACCCCUUUCAGAGUAACAAUUGGAGGGCAAGUCUGGUGCCAGCAGCCGCGGUAAUUCCAGCUCCAAUAGCGUAUAUUAAAGUUGUUGCAGUUAAAAAGCUCGUAGUUGGAUGUCUGCUGGAAGCAAUCAGUCCGCCCUAUUUGUAGGGUGUGCACUUGAUGAAUUCUGGCAUUUUUGUCCCAAUGAUGUAACGGGGCGGUGGUAUUCGGYGAAAGCCGAGUAUCCUGUUUUCCGAUUAUUGGGAUACUGUUACUUUGAGAAAAUUAGAGUGUUUGAAGCAGGCUAAUUGCCUUGAAUACUGCAGCAUGGAAUAACAAUAUAGGAUUUCGGUUCUAUUUUGUUGGUUUCUAGGACUGAAAUAAUGAUUAAUAGGGACAGUUGGGGGCAUUCGUAUUUAACUGUCAGAGGUGAAAUUCUUAGAUUUGUUAAAGACGAACUACUGCGAAAGCANUUGCCAAAGAUGUUUUCAUUAAUCAAGAACGAAAGUUAGGGGCUCGAAGACGAU